GAAAAAGUCACAAACAAAUUCUCCACAUUAAGAAUGACAUUGGACUUCUCAAAAGCAACACUGGAAGCCAGAAGAUGGAACGAUGCAUGAGCAAUGCCUCUAGAAUUUUGAUGGAAAAGAAAAUUUAUUAAAGAAUUAGAUUUCAAGCCAAUUCACCAAACGAGGCAAUGAUAAUAUAAAAGUAGUAUUUCUACUCAUGCAGUCUCAGAGUUUAUGUCAAAUAUAACCUGUCCUGAGAACUACCACAGAAUGUGUCACAGCAAAACAAUAAGCCAAAGAAGUACAGGAUCCAACCCAAGAGUGAUGCCAAAGAUGCCCUAGUAAUUGUACAGAGAAGUCUAGAUUGGAACAGCAAGACAAAGUGUUCUGGGAUACCAGCUUCAGGAAUUAUUAUUGGGAGACCGCCGGUAGGCAUAACCAUAGCAAGGUAAAUUUUUUCAUUGCUAUCAAGAAAAUUUGACUAUGGCUUUGUACCAAUAUGAAGAAAUAAAGCAAACAAGAAUACUAGGGGAUUAGCUCUUACAACUUAAAAACAAGUCAUGUAAAGAAGGAAAUGUAAUCCAGAAGGGAAACAAUACAAAUCUUUGUAAUAUAAUUGCUGGAAACUGAUUUAGCCAAAUAUUGAAAUGUAUGCAGAGAAUGGGGAGAAGAGAAAAUAUGGUUGAGGAGCAGAGUAUGUAGUAUAAGAGAACUAAAUCCUCAGUUUUCAUAGCACGACCUCAAUAAUGUCAGAAUGAAAAGAAAAUGUUUAUUUGAGAUACAGAUAUAAAUGUCAAAAGACACAGAUUUUAAAAAUAAAGAAAGUUAGUUGUGUCUGGGGAACUGAAAUAAGAAGUGCAUCAGAAGUGCAGAGGAAUUUUGUUGCUGCUGCUACUGCUGUUUUUGUU
rnacentral:lncRNA from 1 species